UGGGGAAUAUUGCACAAUGGGCGCAAGCCUGAUGCAGCCAUGCCGCGUGUAUGAAGAAGGCCUUCGGGUUGUAAAGUACUUUCAGCGGGGAGGAAGGCGAUAAGGUUAAUAACCUUGUCGAUUGACGUUACCCGCAGAAGAAGCACCGGCUAACUCCGUGCCAGCAGCCGCGGUAAUACGGAGGGUGCAAGCGUUAAUCGGAAUUACUGGGCGUAAAGCGCACGCAGGCGGUCUGUCAAGUCGGAUGUGAAAUCCCCGGACUCAACCUGGGAACUGCAUUCGAAACUGGCAGGCUAGAGUCUUGUAGAGGGGGGUAGAAUUCCAGGUGUAGCGGUGAAAUGCGUAGAGAUCUGGAGGAAUACCGGUGGCGAAGGCGGCCCCCUGGACAAAGACUGACGCUCAGGUGCGAAAGCGUGGGGAGCAAACA
rnacentral:rRNA from 1 species